UGCUGCGGGCGGCGUUCCGACGAUGGUGUGUCAGCCGCAUUUGUGUCGACUGACACACCAUCGUCGGAACGCCGCCCGCAGCA
rnacentral:misc_RNA from 1 species